AUUUGUAUAGUUUAAAAAAAACACUACAUUUUCAAUGUAAAAAUAAAAAAUAUUUUACAAAUA
rnacentral:tRNA from 1 species